rnacentral:lncRNA from 1 species
CCUCCAUUAUCCAUCCUAGCCUGGACCAUUGCUUUUGUCGUCAAUCAUUCAAAUUAUAACCAAAUGUGUUCUCCAUUAGAAACCAGCAAAAUCCCUUUCAACCAUGGUAUGUCGAACCAAGCCAAACUGCUCGGUUCAUCUCAUACCGAAGUAUAGGACCAAAUAAAUUCGGCCCUUUUUUUCGAAAACCCAUCCGAACCACUCCAACUAACCUGAAUCGGGUGGUUCGGCCUGGUUCGGAGUGGUUCAGACUAUCACUCAAUUAUUUGAGUGAUGGGAAGAAGCUUGAGAAGGCUCAGUGGUUCAGACUAUCACUCAAUUAUUUGAGUGAUGGGAAGAAGCUUGAGAAGGCUCUUCAGCCUUCUCAAGCAAAAGUGAGGAAAUUCCCUCAAAAUCUUCCCCCCCCUCAAGUGAAAAAUAGUUGGAAAAUGCCAAAUUCAAGUUAUGUAAGCUCCUCCCCCACCUCCCUUCCUCUAGAGAAGCACUUCCUCAAAGAGUUCCACUAGAGCGAUUCCACUAGGUAGGGCAGCAAGAAGAAGUCUUUUUGAAAGAUUUCACUAGAAGCCACCAUCUAUGACUUAGAUUUACUGCCUUC